UACGUAGGGACCAAGCGUUGUUCGGAUUUACUGGGCGUAGAGGGCGCGUAGGCGGCGUGGUAAGUCACUUGUGAAAUCUCUGAGCUUAACUCAGAACGGCCAAGUGAUACUGCUGUGCUAGAGUGCAGAAGGGGCAAUCGGAAUUCUUGGUGUAGCGGUGAAAUGCGUAGAUAUCAAGAGGAACACCUGAGGUGAAGACGGGUUGCUGGGCUGACACUGACGCUGAUGCGCGAAAGCUAGGGGAGCAAACGGG
rnacentral:rRNA from 1 species